CUCGCCCCCGCCUCUUCCCGCGAGCCUCCUUCCGGGGGUCCUCCUGCAGGUGCCGCGUGGGGCUCCUCUGCGGGGCCAGCUUAGCACUGCGUUCCUGAGCGGAGCUUCGAGCAGAUGGGCGGCUGUGCCGGCACGUGUUUUGAGCAACGGAGCCGCAGCAGAGGGGUUCAAGAGCCAUGUGCGCCUCCGGAGCCGCAGGUUGCCGACCCCUGGCCUAGACCUUCGAAUAGCAGAGCUUGAAUGGGUGGGGAUGCCAUCUGGUGCACCUCCCGCCUAGUGCUGGGCACCAAGUCACGCCCUUCCUCUACGAAGGCUGUCCAUCUGCAUCUUGCAUGGCUCUAAGGUGGGAGAGCCCGCAACCUCCCUAUUUGUUUGUAGUUUUUCUAUGCUGUCCCAUUACUAAAAGUCUCUGGACGGCUUACGAAGAACAAAACCCCAACGAAACCCAGAUCUUUGGUUGCACUGUUGUAUUUCUCUAACAUUCUCUAAAUUCUCAAUAAAUUCUCUAAAUUCUCUAAA